rnacentral:rRNA from 1 species
UACGUAGGAGGCAAGCGUUGUCCGGAAUCAUUGGGCGUAAAGCGCGCGUAGGCGGCCCGGUAGGUCCGCUCUGAAAGUCCAGGGCUUAACCCUGGAAAGCGGGUGGAUACUGCCGGGCUAGAGGGUGGUAGAGGCGAGUGGAAUUCCCGGUGUAGCGGUGAAAUGCGCAGAUAUCGGGAGGAACACCAGUAGCGAAGGCGGCUCGCUGGGCCAUUCCUGACGCUGAGACGCGAAAGCUAGGGGAGCGAACAGG